UUUUGGUUGCUUGCUUGCAUUUUUGCUAUGUGGGUGGCUACUAGUCGGGUGGUUUCGGAAAAUGUUUACCGUAAAGGUGCAUGAGUGGUGUUUGGUUUGUUACGGGUGGUUGGAUGUCUUCUAGCGAAGCAACUUCCAUGCGUGCUUACCUCUUCAUUUACGUAGCAAGGCUUAAUUUAGUGUUGCUCGUAUUGUGGGUUUACUGUGUUGCGUACCUAAUCGAAGGCAUUGUAUGGACCGAAUGAAUAUGUAUCCGUCAUGCAUCGCACAAGUGGUGCAUGAUGGACCGGUAAGUGGUCUUAGUAAUCCAUCUUGUCGUUGUGUACACAUCGGCGAUGUGGCUUGCUGAGUUUCGCUUGGUGUCUUGGAUAUGGAACCUAAUGUGGGCAUGGGUCUUAAAUGAUCUUUUUAUGUCCUUGAUUAGCGUUCUCGCUUCUCUAAAACGAUCACUCGUCGCGUGUUGGCUAGUCCAUGCGUGGCGGGUUGCGUCGAAGAGGAAUGCUACC
rnacentral:misc_RNA from 1 species